rnacentral:rRNA from 1 species
GACGUAGGAGGCGAGCGUUAUCCGGAUUCACUGGGCGUAAAGCGCAUGUAGGCGGUUGGAUAAGUCCGUUGUUAAAGCCCCUGGCUCAACUGGGGGAGGUCAAUGGAGACUAUUCGACUUGAGGGCAACAGAGGCACAUGGAACUCCCGGUGUAGCGGUGGAAUGCGCAGAUAUCAGGAAGAACACCAACGGCGAAGGCAGCUCGCUGGGACGGUACUGACGCUGAGACGCGAAAGCGUGGGGAGCGAACAGG